AAUGGAAUUGAGGAAUAUAGUGUAUAUGGGCAAUGGUUGUGAUGGAUGAUGGUUGCCAUAUACAUGGGUGGCUGAAUCCCUCAGAUAUCAACUUUACUUUCAUUACAUAUAGAAUGGUCAAUAUUGAAGUGAGCUAUCCCAUUUGAUGUUUCCAGAUUGGCAAUGAUCUUCUCAAUAUGUGGGGCCUCUUAUCUUAAAUAAACUUCUACAGGUUGGUUGGUUUUCCUUUCUUUAAAUCAGUACUUUGCAAGAGAUGUAUCCUAAAUGCUUCAGGUUUUUCAUUUUAUUUUUAGUUCUGAGAUGCUUCUUGUUAUUGUGACAUCUGCUUGUUCAUGGUGGGGAGAAUAGGGUAAUCAUAAGUUUUUAAUUCUAAUUUAUAAGUCCAAAAUUCCGUAAAUAAAUCAUUGCUGAAUUGUUGUUGUUGUGAUUAUUUAUUUUUCUGAGGGGAAGAGGUUUUGUAAGCUCUUGAGAAAUUAAGAAUUGGAGCAUGGGUAUUCAGUUCUGAUCUCUCAUUUUAAAGAAAGCCAUCACUGAUCUACUACUCUUUUUAUUAUAAAUUUCUGAAUUACCCUGCUCUUGAUGGUCUUUUAAGUGAUAAAGAUUGAAAGGCUUUCUAGUAGACUCAGUUAAUGUCUUAAUCAAUGGUAAGGGAUGACAGAUGGUCAAACGUGCUGCUGGGGAAAGCUGUCACUUGCAAAUAUUUUAAACAAGAUAAUUUUAUGGAGAUUGAUGUAGGCAUUGGAUCUUCAUCAUUUGCAAGAGGUGUCAUUGACCUUGACUUGGGAUAUGUCACAAGCUUGGUGAUUGACCUGGCUAUUUUGAUAGAGGUUUGUGUCUUGAUACUAAGGGAUAUGUUUUCUGUUUAUCAACUAGCAUUUCUUCAUUUUGUGUGGUCUGUCUAGUUAUAAUUUAAUUCCAGACCUUUAAAGAAAUAUGCUCUAGAGGGAUUUCUAUGUACAUGAUCCACUAUUUUAACUGUCAAAAUACUCUGUAGUGGACAAUUAGAAAGAUGUUAUAGAGAGGAAGCUUGGUGACAUGGCAGUGGAGUUCUGAAAUAUGUUAUUUUCUCUUUUCUCAUCUUUUAUUCUUUCAAUUUUUUUAACUUUCAAUUAAUAGAUUUUAUAAGCCUCCUUUGAUUUGGUUGGAGUAUAAAUUUGAGGUAUUUAGAGAUUGGUUAGCUUACAUGUAUUUUAUUUGACACGGGCAUAUUACUUUCAUGAUUUCAAAAUAAUAAUUCAUUUUUCUCACUAAAAGAUGACUUAAAGAAAAAUAAUUUGCAUUCUUAAAGCUUUUGGAAUUUAGGAUUGCUCAUAAUUCCAAGUCCUACUACGUGUUCUUUCUCAAUAUUUAACUCUCUCAAAGUCCUGCUCGCAACAUGUAUUUUUUGGCUGGUUUGUGUUGGUGUUGUAGCUUGUUGCAGUAAUUAGCUAGAAAAGGA